AUGUUAAAAUAUCAGGCCAAAAAAUAAGGUAUAAAUUUGUGAGUCUGAACAUUAAACUUUCGUAAAUGAGAUUUGUAAUUUAUUUUCUUCAUUUUCAGCUAUGACUGCGCUAUCUACGUUAUGAAGUGGAUGGAGUUAAUUGAGCCGAAAAACAUAAAAAAGGGGAAGUAUGAAUGGGAUAAUUGGCCACAGGAGGAGGUGGACCACUAUAGAGUGGAGUAUGCUUCCCGGAUACUAUUCAGUGAGAUGAAUAAAGAAAGAGAUCGGGCAAUUAGGUAGAGUAGUGCUAUAAGGCUGUCGAAGCCAUCCUCUGUAUUAUUGAGUCCGUUUUGUCAGAUUAAUUCUGCUGAUAUAGAAACUGCGUAAUCCAACUGCUGGGUAGUUUGUAAAUUGAACAAAUGAUGUAAAUAUUUGUCAUUUAUCAACAACUUCUAUUCCAUGUA